UGCUAAUACCGGAUAACAACAGAUGAUGCCUAUCAACUGUUUAAAAGAUGGUUCUGCUAUCCCUCUUGGAUGGACCUGCGGUGCAUUAGCUAGUUGGUAGGGUAACGGCCUACCAAGGCGAUGAUGCAUAGCCGAGUUGAGAGACUGAUCGGCCACAUUGGGACUGAGACACGGCCCAAACUCCUACGGGAGGCAGCAGCC
rnacentral:rRNA from 1 species